AAGAUGGCGGCGGCGUCGGCGGGGCCGCUGCCGCCCCCUCCGCCAGGGCCGGGCAAGGUCGCCGCCGCAGCCGCCACAGCCACCAUCGCUGCUGCACGGGAACCGGGGCUGCCGUGGCCAACCCUUCCGCGCCCGUGACGCGAGGCCUGAGAGACGGAGUGGAGGGAGGAAGAGGAGGAGGCCGGGGCUGCCAUGAGGGAGGCGACAGCGGCGGGCGGGGAGGCGGCGCUGAGGUGAAGGAUGCUGGCCUGGAGGCCUGGGUCCCGGAGCGCGGUCUCGGGACGGGGCCCCGAGUUGUCGGACGCCCGCGACGGAGCCCCCCGCAGCCCCCGCUCGGGCCGCGGGCGCUGCCGGCCUGCCGCCGACCUAGAUAUGAAAAUCCAUCUGGAGAAAAAUCUAGAAGAAGAGCGUCAAAUAUUACUGCAGCAACAAAAAUUAUGCCGAAAUCGAGCACAUAAAUAUUUUGUGGAAUCAAACCGGAGAAAAAAAGCUUUUGAAGAAAAACGAAAAGAACAAGAAGAAAGAGAACAACAAAUCAGAGAACAAAUACUUCAACAAAGAAAAGAGAAGUUUGUAGAAGUCACUGAAAAAUUCCAGCGUGCUCAUAUUCCUCUUUCACAAAGGAGGAGAGCAGUUUUUAAAAAACCAGUUCCUCCGUUGGAAGAAGCCCUCAAGCAAAUUCAGGAAUCCAACUUAAAAUCAGAAGUAAAGCUCCUCCCUUCCCACAGACCAACAAUAAAUUGGAGAGCUAUAGAUAAUGCCUUGCCUUCAUCAUUGUCAAAAAAUGGUCACAAGCAUCAGAAACAUCUCUUAUCCAAAAUCAGUUGUGGUAAAGAAAUGAAGGAAAACAACAGGGCAGACUUGGCUACUAACAAAGAUGCGUUCCAGCUUAAACUGGAAGAAACUCAGAAACUCCUAGAAGAUCAGCAUCUAAGCAGUUUGCAAAAAUUUUGUGAUGAAGUUAAUCAAAUAACAAAUUCUGAAACCCUCUCGAGUAUAGACAGUCUUGAGGCUGGGGAACAUGAAGAAAUAUAUUUAACCCUUAACAAGGAGCCUUCCACAUCAAACCAGAAGAAUUUCAUUUCUCUCAAAUCAGUAAAUCUGCAAUCAACUAAUCUAAGCUGCUUUGAUGAAGACAAACUGUCAUUCUCUAAAACUCAGCAUAUAAAUAAUUGGCUCAUAAAUGUAAAUGAUCCAAAUACUCAGACUGUCACACCUUUCUCAGAUAUUUUAAGUAAUCCUAAUGUUCUGCCUUCUUGUGAAUGUUUUAAUGGUAAAGAACAAAAUCCACCUGUGGAAAGAGUGACAAAUAGUGCUAAUAAUUCAGUAGCCUUUGUAUAUAGUCCACCCAUAUUUAUACAAGACGGAAAAAGCAAAGAGGUCUCUGAAACUAGCCCUGUAAGGGCAACUGACUCCUCUUCUGGAACAUUCAAAAGGGAGAGACCAUUUGUUACUGAGAGCCCAACAUUUAAAUUCAGCAGAGUCUGGACCACUCCAGAUUGUCUAACACAGGAAAUGGCUGCGUUUUCAGACCAAGGGAACAAUUCCGAAUUAACACAAGAAAAUAGAACUGCUUCAUUUGUACCUAUGGCAACACGUAUAGUUUUGCCAUGUAAUACGCAGUCAGCUAGGCCUUUACCAAAGAGCAGUCUACAUAUAAAAGAAGUCGACCCGGUGCAGUGUUCUGAUAAGUUAGGAGAAUUGACAAACGUUAAAGGUGAGAAGUUAAAAUAUUUUCAUCGUAAUAAGGAAGAGUUGCCUUUGUUUUCAGAUGAUUUUCAAGUUGCCUAUAUACCUCACAACUCUGAUUCAAAUGAUAAAAAACACAAAAUACCCCAAACACCAACGUCAGCGUCUAACAUAAUUUCUAACUGUGACUUAGUGGGUCAGCACAAGAAGAUGAAAUACAACAUUCAUGAGAGAAAUGGUGUGAGGUUUCUGAAAAGUAUUUUAAAAAAAGAAUCUAAAUACGAACACAAUUGUUUUAAGGCACUAGUUAUAAACCAUAGCUUUAAGUUAGGAAAUCAAAAAGCAGCAGCUAUCAGAGAUAGUAUUGAAUUAACAAAAGAAAAAGGUACAGAAAUUCCAAAGACUAUUAAAAAACUGAGGUGGUUUGAUGAAACUGGAGAUACAGAAAAAAAUGCUGCAGACCAUCAUUCAUUGAGGAACAGAAUAGAACUAUCUCAGCAGCGGUCUCAGCCUUUCCACGUUCAGACUAAAAGUGGUGCUGCCAGCCUUGCAAUUAGAGUUCCUGCCCUAAGUGCUGUAGAUUCUGCUGAUGGAACGAAGCCCAAGGAGGGUUCUGUCUCGGACAAUGUCGCUGCUUUAGGAGAAGCUGGGACAGACCAUGUGCCUCUGAAUUGUUUUAUGCCUUCAGGUUAUAACGUUGCUAAAGAAGCCUGGCCACCCUCAGAAAAAGAGGGCAGUCAACCCCCUCUGCAAAGUGGCGGUUCUAAAGCUCAGAAAGCAAAUCCACCACAAGGUGGUACAAGAGUAAUCCGCAGAACAAGGUCUGCUCAGGUGCAGUCCGCCUUCGUGUGCACACACACAAAAGGCACUGUCCUUCGGCCCCAGUCCGAGAGCAGAGCCAACAGACUUCUCCGAGCUCAGGGUAGACGGAUCGUGCCUCAUCCUCCUAGGUCUCCGUCACAUAGUAGGAGUAGUAAAAAUGUACAAGCGUCUCCGUGUCAGCCAGUAACACUUGAAGAUUCCCAGAACGUGAUUACGAGUCACCAUUUUCAUUCAAAGCAUGUGCUUCCAACAGAACACAGGUUCAAUCACUGGAAUCAGGAGAGUCAUUUUCCACCUGCAGCUGUUUGUUCGGACUCUGUCACUGUGAUGCCUUCUCUACCGUAUUGUUCUUCUGAGUGCCAAACUUUAGCAAAAGUAAAUGGUUCAGAUGGCACUCGAGUGGUGCCCCAGCAAGGUGGGACUUCACAUUGCACCCACAGAUGUCCUGUUUACGAAGAAAGCCAUCCCUCUGUGACUCUGAGAACUGCUCGAGAAGAAUCUGUUCCCUUGUGGAAGAGACAGAAUAAUAUUCCGGGCCAAAAUGAAAAGGCUGCUGGCUCUACUGUUGUAAGAAGAAAGCAAAUUGUUGAAAAUAAGCAGAGAAGUCUUUUAGAACAGAAAAGACAAAACUCUGGAUCUGCAGGAAAGAAGUGCAACGAGCAAAUGAACAAUUUUGGGAAAAGUGUCCAGCUAAGUUCAAGUGAGCCAAAACACACUACGAGGGGUACUUCUGAUGUUGAAGAAGUUUCAGAUAGUACUUCGCAGUUUUUGAUGGCUGAAAGCCUAGUGAAAGCUUCAGUGCCUGAGGAUGAAAUUCUCACUGUCAUGGAUAGCAAGCAGCUGCAGAAACCAAGUCUGGCUUUAAAUAAGACCCAGCCAUUGGACAUCUCUGCACUCUCAGCUGAGGAGCAGAAGAUCCUACAGUCCCUCAGUCGUCUCAAUGAAAGGUUAUACUAUGUACAAGAAGCCAUUUGCAAGAAUCCAUCCAUCAAAAACACCUUACAAAUAAUACCACUUCUGAACAGCCAGCCAAGGGGCAGCCCAUCUCCUGGCGUUGGAUCCAGAUUGCAGAGAAAAUACUGACGGAGUACAACAGCGAGUAUUACCCGGAGUCAUUAUCACUGACAGUCUCCUGUAAAUAGAGCAUAGAUUUCUGCAUUUGUUAAUAAUUUAAAAUACUAUUACCAUAAGAUAAAGUACUGGACGCACACAUCUGCCGGGACCAUGCCCAGGAAAGCAAGUGAGCAACAGAACUACGGAAUACGCGUCCCAACCCGGGGCUGGAGAGCAGCGAAGUCCGGCAGAGCUCCGAGAAGACCCAGCUCCGCACACAAAUGCAGGCAGGGACCCAGGACGGUCCACUGAAUGUCUCUACCAACAAAGGGUCGCUUAAAGUAGUGGGACUUGGUCAAGUCUGAGCAGACAGGCUUCUCCGGUGAGCUUGAGCAGGACAGGUCUUUAUUCUCCUAGUACGUGAACAUCAUGACAUCACCCUUCCGUGAACCUGGGGCGACCAGAAUCCCUCCAGAGAGAAGCGGUGGGACCUUAGCGGAGCCAGGAGGGGCCACUGACAAUGACAGAGGUACGUAGAGAUUGUUGUGAAUUACAGCGGAAGAGAACAUAGCUACGGAAGCGAGGACUAAGUGAGGGUGUGAUUCCGCGUCUACAUUAAAUAUGUAACAUAUGACAUCACAGAUACACGGAGGAAAAAUGCCUCAUACACUGAGUUUUAUGUUUUAGGGAAAAGGACCUCUUUCCAACUGAGAAGGUAAGUCUUCUCAAAUUUCCUCUUCAUGGUGUACAUGGCCACGGGAACGGACAAGCCCGGAGCCUGGUGUGUCUGCUGCCUGAGCAACUGGUGGUCGGUGUCUUGUGCCGGUUCUGCCCUUUCCAGAAAGGGGCACUGCCAGGACUGAGCCUAUGGCGCCGGACCCGAGUCACAGGCGUGAGCGUGAAUGCGCGCACACCCAGACCUGUGCGCACACGUGGGCCUCCUCGACCUGUCCCCUGGGAGGGCCUGGCACUCAGAUCAUGUUCCCUAAUGAAAGGAACCCAAGUUCUGGGAGAAGUCACUGAUUCCAGGACUGUGCAGAGAAAAUACAACAUGGGCCUGCAGGAAGGGUGUAUUAAGUGAAACAAACAAAUAAAAGUGGGACAUUCCAGAAUGUGCCGCCUGUGUCCACAGGGGCAGUCCGACAGGGAUCCCAGCAGCAACAACAUAAACAAUGAUGGUAUUAGAUUAUGGCCCAAAGGAUAAAACAAAUAUAAAUCCACACUGAUAUAAAUAAAUGAUCGCAUAAGUAGAUGGGGAAGAAGGAAUGACUUCUUUACAGAAGGGUUCCAGCACAUAUGGAUGAAAUGAGGACCUAGAAAAAUCACCGUUACAAAGCGACACAAUUGUUGCAAACAAGACCCACAAGCAGAUGCCAAAAUUAGCUUGGAGGAGAAAAAGGACAUCGACAUUGCCUCAAGGUAUGUCCCCCAAAAUAUUCAUUAAUUACAAGGAGAAAAAGUCCUUUUAUAGUAGUGAGACCUGGCAGAUCUCACCCGAAUAUAAGCAGUCUAGGUCAUAAUUACCAGUAAGAAAACAUUUCAAAAUCAUGCUGUGACCCCUGAUGCAAUGCAGUGGAAAGGGUGUAACUUCAAUCAGGAGAAAAGCAUCACAGAAACUCGGUCAAGGGACAUUCCACACAAUGCCCCCACGGGUACCUUCCACAACUGUCAAGGUCAUGAAAGAAAAGGAAUAGGAGAGGAACUGUCGCAGAUGAGAAGAGACCGGAGGACAUAAAAUACAACAUGGCAGAGGAGGGACAGCGGUGGGAAACUGCUGAAACCCUAAGACAGUCUGUAGCUCAGUUAAUAGUCUUACAACGUCUGUUUCCAAGUUUUGAUGCCCCUGCCAUGGUUACGUACGAUGUUAACAGUAGGAGAAGCUGGAACAGGAAUAUAGGAACUCUGCACUCUUACAACGAGUCUUCCAUGGGUCUAGAAUUACUCCAGAAGAAACACUGGUGGGCUGCCUGGGGGGCUCAGUCUGUUGAGCGUCCAACUCGUGAUUGUGGCUCAGGUCAUGAUCUCAGGGUCAUGGGAUUGAGCCCCAGGUCAGCCUUCACACCGGGCGUGGAGCCUGCUCAUGAUUCUUUCCUUCUCCCUCUCCCCCCAGUCUCUAAGAAAAAAAAAGGUUAAAGUUUUAAAAACUCUCAAAAUAUUUAAAAUCUUUCGUUGUACCUUAUGUCCCAAUUUUUGGUUCAGUACAAAUACCACUAUAAUUAUACAAAACAUUAAGACAUACACUUCGUAAAGAUACAAAUAUAGGGAUCCGAAGGGGUACGUGCACCCCGAUGUUUAUAGCAGCAAUGUCCACAAUAGCCAAACUGUGGA